ensembl:lncRNA
GCCUACACCUGCAGCGCUGGGGAUGGGGGCGCCCAGGACAACAGCAGCAUCGGCUUGGCCCUGGGAUGUGGGCAUCAGAGGCUGCUGUGCAGAAGGCGGAUAGAGUUGUCUUGUUUUAAUGUGGCCCCUGCAGGCUGAGUUUCGUUUUGUGAUCCAUCUGCCUUAGAGAUGCCGACACAACGCAAAGCAUGCUUUUAAAAAAGGAAUUUGAACAUUACAGCAACUUUGAAAAUGAAAGUCCUUCAUAAACUGCUCUUCCAAGUGUGGUUUGGUAUCUCCUGGGAACUGGCCAGAAAUGCAGAGUCUCAGGCCCCUUCCAGCAUGACCUGCCGAAUGAGAACCUGCAUUUGACUGAAUCCCACUGACUCACAGGCUCCUGAGAGCGAGAAGAGCCAGCUGCAACCCUCCUGUCCACAAGCCCGGCGAAGAUAAUAAUGUCAUCGGUUGUGUGUGCACUUAAGAGCCAUUUAAAAUGUGCACUCUUCUAACCUCUUCCAGUCAUUACCUGCAAUUUUCAGGCCUUGUCUAAAACCAAAAUCCUCAUCAAUGUCAUUCAGCAGGAAGCUAAUAAAGACAUCAUUAUCUUGUCUGUCAGCUGCCCUCUUGCCCCGUCUCCAACCCCAGCAGUCACGGUGAUGGUUCUAAAACAUAAACCGAUCGCAUCACUCUCCCGCUUAGACUCCUGCCCUGCCUUUCCAUGGGAGCGCAGUCCUUGCCCUCUGCUGCCUGUUUCUGACAUGCUGACCUUCUCUUUUGGGCCAUCUGGAUCUUUGCACUCUCGCUUCUGUGCAUGGA